UACGAGGGGUGCAAGCGUUGCUCGGAAUUAUUGGGCGUAAAGGGUAGGUAGGUGGUCUCAUUUGUCUGGGGUGAAAUCCUUGAGCUUAACUCAAGAAGUGCCCCAGAAACGGUGAGACUGGAGUCUUGGAGAGGGUCGUGGAAUUCCCGGUGUAGCGGUGAAAUGCGUAGAGAUCGGGAGGAACACCAGCGGCGAAGGCGGAGACCUGGACAAGUACUGACACUAAACUACGAAAGCGUGGGGAGCAAACAGG
rnacentral:rRNA from 1 species